CAAUAGCGUAUAUUAAAGUUGUUGCAGUUAAAAAGCUCGUAGUUGGAUUUCUGGUAGGAGUGACCGUUCCGAACUUGAUUGUUCGUGUAUUGUGUUUUCUCCAGCCAUCCUUGUGGAGAACUUUUCUUGCAUUAAUUUGUAGGGAUUGGGACCCGCAUCGUUUACUGUGAAAAAAUUAGAGUGUUUAAAGCAGGCAAUCGCUUGAAUACAUUAGCAUGGAAUAAUAAGAUAGGACUUUGGUACUAUUUUGUUGGUUUGCAUACCAAAUUAAUGAUCAACAGGAACAGUUUGAGGAUAUUCGUAUGAACAUGUCAGAGGUGAAAUUCUUGGAUUUUGAUCAGACGAACUACUGCGAAAGCAUUAAUCAAGGAUGUUUUCAUUAA
rnacentral:rRNA from 1 species